GGAGGCGCAGGCGGUGACAGCUGCCGGGGCGGGGCCGCGCAGAGCUGAAGGGCCGCGAUGCCCCCUGGGAGCACUGAUCGCUGCGGCCUGCACGCCCUGCCCUCCCCUGGGCUCUGUCCUGAGGCACCCCCACAGCUGGAUUCAUCCAGGUGGCCACCUGCACCCCCGCCCUUAACGUUCCUAACGCGGCACUAGGCCCCCGCCCGCCGUCACCCACCCGACCAGCCCGGCUGUGCCCGCUCAGGCAGGGACUCCGUGUGUCUGGGCGAGUCGCUGGCUGCGCAAGGGCUGCCCCGGCUGUUGUUCUACGCGGAGGAUUUCCUCUGCUCCCAGGGCACGCGCUCCCCCACCUCCUGCCUCCACUUCCAGGGACAUCAGCAGUCAGUCGCAUUGUAUUUUCCCCUUGAGAAACCUCAUCUGGUUUUUGAACAGCCCAGGGAGCCCCUGUGGAAUCGGCAUCCCUGAGGGAGGGCCAGGGCCCGGGUGUGAAAGAGCCCCGGGUCCCCCACUCAUGCUCACGGGCGGGGCUUCCUGCACCGCAGGCCCCUUUCCAGAGGCAGGCAGUUCGCAGGCUCGCCCCUACUUCCGGCUCCUCCCAGACUGACCAUAGUAGAUGCCGUUCACCUCCCGCAGGAAUCUUUGGAGUCACUCGUCGUCCUCAAGGAGAGCUGAGAGCUGAGUUCCUUCCAGUGGGGUGACGUCCCUCAGCCGUGGGAUGUAUCUGAAAAUCAGCUGUGCCUCCAAUGAGUCUGUCUCAUCCAGAACAUCUUUACGCUAGCCUCACAGAGUGGAAGCCUGCUGGAGGACCCACCUGGCCUUUGGGGAAAAUUCCCACUGUAUUCAGAGCCUCCCCUACCCCUGAACACUUUUAGGCAGAACUCUUUUGGGCUGGGCUCAGCCCACCAAUCCUCCCUGGGAAUUCAACUGGGUCUCACCCACUUGUUAGAAGCCCUGGGCUUCCCCCUCUCUUGUCCCUAUAGGCAUCGUAUCCAUUCCACACAAGGUAAGAAUCCCGAGGAGAUUGGAGAGGUUCCUCUAAGGAAGUCUGUCUCAACAUCCCUUCUCUGGAGGGGAGCCCACAGGACCCGCCUAACUGGAAAGAGCCCCUUGGACUUCUUGCCAGAGGCCCAUGAUUCCUUCUCCCAGGAGCAGAGACCUUCAUUCCCUUUCUGCCAGCAUUUAGGUGAAACAGGGUUCCCUUGAAUGCGCAGGAAGAGAAUUUCAUAUGAACCAGGGUCAGGAGAAUGUGUUGAGAUGGAACCUUGAAGCUGGUUUAGCUUACCACAAGGACUCCAAGACCUCCUCACCAUCCUCUGUCAGGAGUUGCUGUGAAAUGAGAAAGGGAAGAACUCACUUACCUGCUUAAUACUAGGUUUUGCCCUACAUUAGGCACCAAAUAAAACCUCACUUAUACUUUUCCUGUUUUGAGGACCCAGCCUCCCAGCUUUUUUGGUGAAGGGGUUAAUACAAUAUUUUUUUAAAACUAAUUUCUACUAAAACCCUGUCAUAUCCCCUAUAAGUGAAACUGGCUCAUGGCCAUUUUGUUUAGAUUUUUUUGAAAAUACAAGGAAGCCUUCUCUUAAAUAUGUUCUCCUUAUAUGCUUAAAAAUAUCACCUUACAGCCUUUCUCUCCUGAUUGGGUAAAUAAAUUGUACUUGUUUUUUUGGCUUAUUUUCAUCUUUUCUUUGGACUUGCUAUUACUCUUUAGGGCCCUAGGAAGGAGCAGAAUUCAACCUACUUUAGCCAUCAGCCAAGUAUAACUAUUUAAAAUCAAUUAAAAUUAAACACAAUUGAAAAUUUAGUUCCUGAGUUGCACUAGCCACAUUUCAAGAGCUCAAAAGUCAUAUGUAGCUAGUGGUACCUGCUGUAUUGGACAGCAUAGAUUUAGAACACAUCCAUCAGUGCAGAAAGUCCUUUUAGAUCUAGUAUAGAGGACUAGUAAGCCUGCCUCGCCCUCUUUGUAAUCUCAUUUUAUUAGUCAAUACAUAUUUGUAAUAACUUCACUGUUAUAGGAUAGCUUUCAGAGGGGGUCAAGGAUAGGGGUGGGAAAUAGCAAGGAAAUUAUAGGUCCUAUAAAAGUUUCAGGAGGCAUGGCAUAGUGGCCAGAGGUUGAUGACCAAUGGCAGGGGAGUCAGCUUUUAAGGAAGUACUUUAGGGGCUGAUAUUCAUAUGUACCAACACAGGGCCACCCACACUCUGACAAGAGUAGGCAGGCUCCGGUCUCCUGUAUUAGGGCUGCAUAAUACCUAAAAAACAAAAGACUGCCCUGUGGCCUUGCUGAAACUGAGUAGCUAAGGUGAUUGCUUUUUACUAAUCAUUUCUAGAUCUUGAUUUCAUAUACUGCUUUGUCACUGUCCUGUUCUCCCAAGUGUCAGUGACAUAAGCAGCGCUAAUGUUUAUAAAAGGCUUGCUGACCCUGCCAUCUGCACACCAACAGCUGGGAGAAGUCUGGGUCCUAUCAAUUAACCUACUGAUGUUGAGACUACAUUUACUAAGGGUCCAGCUAGCUAAGGCUGUUCUUCCACUGAACACUUGAACAACUAUGCCAGGCACUGGCUCUAGGGCCUAAGCGAGGCUAGUCUAUGGAUAUGACCAGUUUCCCUGCAUCUAGAACAGUAGUUCUCAACUAGGGAUGAUCGUGCACUCCCCUCCCCUGACAUCUCAUCCUGCAAUGUCUGGAGAAAUCUGUUGUCACAACUGGUGGAGUGGUGCUACUUACAUGUAGUAGAUAGAGUCCAGAGACUCUUAAGUAGCCUACAAUGCACAACCUUCUCCCCACCACCAAAAAAUUAGCUCACUCAAAAUGUGUCAACAGUGCUGAGGUUGAGAAGCCCUGGUCUAGACCAUAACAUGAACCAGUUCUUCACGCCAAGACCAAUCACAAGGUCCAGGCUCAGUAGGAUAGUAAGUAAGGCUAGCAGGUAUCUGAUAAAUUGGGAGGGAAAACAAUUAGAAGUUGAUCGAACGGUAGCUAGUAUAACGAGUGUUUUUAACUGCACCAGAAAGCUAAGAGCUAAGGUCAUAGUGCGAUUGGAGUUAAGGAUUCCAGGUAUGUAGCAAGUCUGUUGAAAAUGAGGUCCCGGGUACAGCCACAUGGGUAGAGAGGAGCAAGUUUAAACAGUCUGACUUUGAUACAGUGGUCAAUAGCUAAACCUAUAGGGAAGACCUGCAAUAAAGAGAUGAGCUGCUGGGUAUGGAUAUACCAGUUUUUCUCAACAUUUUUGUAACCCACACCUCUACUCAUACAUCUAAAAAUCUUACAUUUUCCUUCCAGUGAUCCUUAAAUUUUCAAAAUUAAGUAUCACAACUAAAAUCAAUUUAAAAAUGGUAAUCUUGGAAUGCAAAACUUUAUUCAGAUGAUAUGAUAACCAUGUCACAGUUACACCUUAACUUUUUUUCCUGGGCGGUGUAGAAGAUGCAACAAAACGCAAGCUGUUUAACAACAUUCUUUCACUGUUUUCUCCCCACAGCUAGAUAUAGCAAAAAAAAGAAAA